CAUAUCUCAGUUUUCAUGACUUCCCGGCUGAUGCUGAGAUUCGAGCAUGUUGGGUGACGGCAAUAAGAAGAGACGAGGGGCCAAAUUUUAAAAUCCUUCGCGGCAGCACUUACGUCUGCAGUCAACACUUCUCUUCAGAGGAGAUCUACGUUUCUGCAAGUGGUCGAAAGAGGUUAAAGAAGGGAGCAGUACCAUCUAAAUUCCCGUGGAAUGAUUGGGGCAAAGGAAGAGGUGAGCAAUCUGCAAGGCGAGCAAGAAAACGCCGUGCAGCUGACAAUGAGAUGCCUGUUCCAAGGAGCAGCACAGAGGACUGGUCCCACCUGGAGGCAGUGCAAAAUGAUCAUGACUACAGCUGCCAUCCUAGAAAUCCCAGCUUCUACAGCUACUCCAGCCAGGGGAUGAAGUAAUGGCUGACAAGGGUUUCCUGACUGAGAAAAUGCUGUCAGAGGUGGGGGUAAAACUCAUCAUCCCACCAUUAAAGAAAUCUACCCAGCUCAGCAAACCAGACACUCAGAAGACCCAGGCCAUCGGCCGUUUGAGUACCACAUUUGGGAUGGAAUUGUUCCGCUGUCCAUGGUAGGAUCAGUGAAUCAGCUGUGGGCCAUCUGCUGCCUGAUGUCAAAUUUCCAGGUACCUCUUGAUAUCAAGGGGGACAAGCUCGUCUGAGGCCCACUAGCUUGGAUGUUAUCUUACUGCAAAAGGCUUUACAGCUAUGACACUGUGAGAUUGUAAUUGGUUGAAUGUAAAUGCUAAAUGGUUGUUUUGAAAAUGACAUUGUGUCUUGCUUUGAAGUUGAAAACUAAAAUAAAGUAGAAAGAAAAAA